GGGACUACAACUGGCACUUUUAAAGGUGCUCCAGAUGAGAAACUUGGAGCUCAGAGACAUCCGUUAACUUAAAGUGGCUGAAGGGGGACUCCAAUCAGGGCAACCCACCUUAGAGUCCUCUGCUGUCCACCACUGAGCUGGGAAAUGAAGACUCUGCACAUAGCAUUUCAUCUGGCUGAUCCUUGGAGUCCCAGUCUAAGCAGGGCAGAAUAUAUGACUGAAGUGAACUCCACUCGACCUUCAAAUCCAACCCCUCCGAAGAGAAUAUUCCAAGAAUCAAGCAAAACCUGGGAGGUCAAGGAUGUUUCAUCUGCGUUUCCCCAUUCUCUUAGAUUGUCUCUUCUUUCCUCAAGUCUCAUAGAAUCUGAGAGUUAGAAGGUUCUCAAAGGUCAUCUCAAGCACAAUGCUUUGUGAAAUUUGAAGUCCAGCUACAAUAUGCCCAAUAAGCAUUUAUCCAGACUCAAGAGUCCCCAUUGCUGGAGAAUUGGAAUUUAAUAAUACCAAACAUAGCCCAAUCCAUUUUGGAACAAAUCUACUUGUGAGGAAGUUAUUUUAUUGUUGUUUGUUUUACAGCAUGCUGUAGGUGGUCUCUUUGAAUUCCAUCUAAAUACAACUUUUUGUAGUACAGUACUGCAAAUCAUCUAUUCUAAAGAUGCAUAUGUGUUUACACUGUAUCUGUGAACAUUCAUAACAAUUGAAGACACUUCUGAUUGUGCUUGGCUGGGCAGCAGACACGACGUUGUUGCUUAUGCAUGUGUGAGACAGGCUGUUUCAGGUAGUGUGAUAAAAAUUCUCUCAAUAUUUCAGUCAAACUAUUUAAGAGUCUUUGGAAUAAGGAAUAUAAGCCUUCUAUGUCUUAAAAAAAAUUUAUGGAGAUUUUUUGAAAAUCAUGAAAGCACCAGAUUCAAAACAUUCAGAAGGCAUCUUGGAAGAAAAAAAAAAUCUCAGGAGACAAUAGUGGAGGACUCUAAACAAAGUUGUAUUACAGUAUUCUUAAGAGUAAAAUCAAUGGGACGAUAGAGCAAAACUGCUCAACUAAUAUACCUAAUUCAUAGAAUGUAAUAGCUAUUUAGGAAAUGAAACAUUUAUUGUUGAUUUAUGAUGUGCUACUAACUCUGCUAAGCCCUUUCCAUAUUUUAUUCUACUUGAUCCACCCCAAGACCUAAUGAGGUAGUUAGCACAGGGCCACUAUCCCUUAUCCAAAACUUUUAGGCCAAAUUUUGAAAUUCAUAACUAUUUUUAUUAUUUAAGAAUAUAUAGUAUAUGUAUUGUAUCUUGUUUAACCCCACCAGCAGGGUCUGGGAUAGCAUGCUGUAAUCAAACACAUUAAUAUUUUGCAACAAAAUAUGUGCAUAUUCACAGACUGUGGGAUAAAGAAAUAUCAUAGUAAGUCUCCAGUCUCCCGUCUCAUGCCAGUUUAGGUCAAAGAUGAGUUUGUGAUGGGCUUAUGAAAAUGUUUUCUGUUCUCAGGUAUUUGGGGAUUUUAGAUAUGCAAAUUAGUGGUUUGGAAUUUGUAUUAGUGUCUCCAUUUUGCUAAUAAACAAAGUGAGGCUUUGUAAGUAGUUCCCCCUGACGCACACAGCUCAGAGUGUGGAGUUGGGUCUGAGACAAUCAAGGUCUUAACAACGAUGCUUGGCUGCCUCAGUGAAGCAUCCAUCUGCCAGGAGGUUGGGGGUCACUGCCAUGGGCCCUGAGUCUUCUCUUCUUUAGACUGAUCACUUGCCCAUAACUAUCUCUAGACUUCUUGCCACAAUGGCUCUCCUUUGAACACCCCAUGGUUUCUCACUUCUUAAACCACUGUAAGUAUGAAGUCUCCAUGAGGGGAGACUUAACUAACUGCUAAUAGAAGAACAGAAAGAACAGAAAGGUGUGUGGAGUUCCACGCUCCAACAGCAUCUACCACUUGCUCAAUGAAGUUUUUCAAAAAUAAAAAUAUUUUCUAAGCAGAUGAUGUGGCUCUUUUAUCGUGCUCAUCAUUUUAGAGAGAAAAAGAUCAAAGAUAGAGCCACCAUAGGUUCCAAACCCAAGGUUUGGGAAACUCCAUUCCAGUUCUAUUAAAAUUGCAGCUUUUUCAUAUAAAUUUCCCUGGAGAAGAAAUAUCAUAGGAGUUUUAAUAAUAAUAAAGUACAGGUUCUGUAGCCAACUCAUCUGGUUUGAAUCUCGUUCUGACACUUCCUAGCUGUGUAAUCUUAAGCAAAUUACUUAACCUCUCUGUGCCUCUGUUUUUCUAACAAAUGGGGGCAAUGAUAUGACCUACCUUUGAG
rnacentral:lncRNA from 10 species